UACAGAGGUCUCAAGCGUUGUUCGGAUUCAUUGGGCGUAAAGGGUGCGUAGGUGGCGCUGUAAGUCGGGUGUGAAAUUUCGGAGCUUAACUCCGAAACUGCAUCGAUACUGCGGUGCGUUGAGGACUGGAGAGGAGACUGGAAUUCAUGGUGUAGCAGUGAAAUGCGUAGAGAUCAUGAGGAAGACCAGUGGCGAAGGCGGGUCUCUGGACAGUUCCUGACACUGAGGCACGAAGGCCAGGGGAGCAAACGGG
rnacentral:rRNA from 1 species